rnacentral:tRNA from 6 species
GCGACACUAGCUCAGUUGGUAGAGCGCAACCUUGCCAAGAUUGAGGUCACGAGUUCGAACCUCGUGUGUCGCUCCA